rnacentral:lncRNA from 1 species
AUUUUUGCACCACAGUCCGAAUUCUCCCAAUUCAAUGAACAGCUUGGGAAACAAACUGAGGAUGUUGUACAAGAGAGCUACAUACCCACCACACAAGCAUGGCAGGAGAGCUCCAUUCCCACCUCCCAAGCCUACGAGGAGUGUUACAUUCCGACCUCCCAAGCCUACGAGGAGUGUUACAUUCCGACCUCCCAAGCCUAUGAGGAGUGUUACGUCCCGACCUCCCAAGCCUAUGAGGAGUUUUACAUUCCAACCACCUUAGAUUUUGCGGGACUUUCUAACGUCACAGG